CGCACAACAAUCACUUGUUCUCU
rnacentral:snRNA from 1 species